AUUUUGAUUUCUCCACCAUAUUAUCACUAUCUCAAUAAAAGAAAAAAAUUACCAUACCCCUAACACCUAAGGGGGUCAUAAAUCUGUUUGUGCAUCAACUUAAAUACAGUUUAUGGACCCUUCCAAGCACCAAAAGCGACGGAGAGCAAAAUGUAGACUGAAAAUGAACAAAUAUCGAUCUUAUAAGAAACUACACGCUCCUAUAAACAAUUAUUGUCAUUUGUUAUCGACGAGAUCUGCACACGUGAUUUUAAAUGAGAGAUAGUCGGCAUUGUGUUUCUUAACAGUCCAAAGCUUUAACUUCUUUUGUAAAUUAGCCUGAAAAGUUCCCAGCAAAGUCAUUCACAAUGUUCUCUGAGUACAAGCAAGUGCAGUUAUAGGCAUGGUUGACACCAUAAUUUGCAGUAGAUAUGGACGGAUGGAUGUCUAACCGCGCUUCAGUGACGCCUUCCUAUGUACAUCAUGGUUUUGUUAACCAGUGGCAACUCAGCUGAAUCCUUCCGUGCUCCUAACACUUUCUGGCUGGUAUAAGGAGGAGGGCAAAAUAUGAUCAAGUAAUCAGCAGAGGCACAAGUGAAGGUACUAGUCUUAUCAUCAUAAGCAUAACUAUAAGAGCGUGGGCACGCGUGCUUGAAAAAGAGCGAGUAGCUCGAAGGGUGACACGUGUCAGGCGUAUUAUACGCUUCACUGCAACAGUAAAUCGGAUCAUUAAACGCCAAACACGCGCUCUUACAUCCAACACUUUCACCCCCACUCGCAACCCUCAAAUCUCUCGGACACGCGCCGUUCAAAUCCACUAAACAUCCCGUCGCACUGCAUCCCCCUGUACCUCCUUUAGCAACUAUGAGCAUCGGAAGGUUGUACCCAUCCACAAGGCUGACGUCAUAGAAAUCCAAGCCCUGAUCUCCGUUUAGAGUAAACUCCGCUAAACUCGCCGGCGGUAUUGCACCCGCUCCGGCGCAUUCCACUUUACCGGACCCGCAGUCUCCGGUGACGCAGGUGAAUUUACCAGUGGAGGGUUCGUUGGAGCAGAGGGUCCGACCCCAAACCCGACCCGACCAAGCUCUGGGCAUUUUCAGAGUCUUGGAUUUGCCACUUUUAAGAACGAACCCGGUUGGAUUAACAGGUGCUCUGUCAGCUCCGGUUAGUAUUCCUGGCCAUACUGUGUGGCGGCACCUAUUUACUAUCUUGAAAGUUGUUGACUGCACCUCUGAGAAGAGAGAGAAAGUGAUGAGAAGAAGGGAGAGAAAGAUAAGAAGACGAUCCAUUGAUGAUGAAUAGUGAGUGAGUGAUUUUCAGGUUUCAAAGUUGUUAACUUUUUCUUUUUCAUUUUAAUUGGGUUAUUGAGGUCCAGAAGAAUAAAACAAAA
rnacentral:misc_RNA from 1 species